rnacentral:rRNA from 1 species
CCUACGGGAGGCUGCAGUGAGGAAUAUUGGUCAAUGGGCGCUAGCCUGAACCAGCCAAGUCGCGUGAAGGAUGACUGCCCUAUGGGUUGUAAACUUCUUUUAUAUGGGAAUAAAGUGCAGUAUGUAUACUGCUUUGCAUGUACCUUAUGAAUAAGGAUCGGCUAACUCCGUGCCAGCAGCCGCGGUAAUACGGAGGAUCCGAGCGUUAUCCGGAUUUAUUGGGUUUAAAGGGAGCGUAGGCGGGUUGUUAAGUCAGUUGUGAAAGUUUGCGGCUCAACCGUAAAAUUGCAGUUGAUACUGGCAGCCUUGAGUACAGUAGAGGUAGGCGGAAUUCGUGGUGUAGCGGUGAAAUGCUUAGAUAUCACGAAGAACUCCGAUUGCGAAGGCAGCCUGCUGGACUGUAACUGACGCUGAUGCUCGAAAGUGUGGGUAUCAAACAGGAUUAGAUACCCCUGUAGUC